rnacentral:rRNA from 1 species
GUUUAGGGGUAAACCUGAGAAACCCGAAAGGUCGAAGGGAGAAAUUCAUUCGCGUUUCGUCGCAGGCGUUAGAUGGUCGUGUGACGGGGAGCGUUCGCGUUCUCCGCGCCUUCCGUUUAUCGAACCGGCAGCGAACGCGUGCACUUUUCUCCUGGUAGGACGUCGCGAUCCGUUGAGCGUCGGUCUACGGCUCGCGGUGGAGCCCGUUCGUGCCACGUGUGCGAGCGGACCCGCGUGUCCCGGCUGACUCGCUCGACGGUAUACGAAAGGUCAAAGGCCGCUCUCGGAGCGUUCGACUCGUGGCAAGCGCGCCAGAUGCGUCGGCGAUCGGACCCGGUGCCGAUUCUGACCUCUGGUGACUGUUGGCCGCGAAUGUCUCGGACAGACCUUCCGACCGAUCUGCGACGCUAUAGCUUUGGGUACUUUCAGGACCCGUCUUGAAACACGGACCAAGGAGUCUAGCAUGUGCGCGAGUCAUUGGGAAUCACUAAACCUAAAGGCGCAAUGAAAGUAAAGGUCUUCCUCGCGGAGACUGAGGGAGGACGGGCGGUUUACCCUUAAAAGUGGCCGCUCCGCACUCCCGGGGCGUCUCGUUCUCAUUGCGAGAAGAGGCGCACCAUGAGCGUACACGCUGGGACCCGAAAGAUGGUGAACUAUGCCUGGUCAGGACGAAGUCAGGGGAAACCCUGAUGGAGGUCCGUAGCGAUUCUGACGUGCAAAUCGAUCGUCGGAACUGGGUAUAGGGGCGAAAGACUAAUCGAACCAUC